CAUUCGCCCCACUUGUUUUCUCCCUCACUGAUCCCUCCACCGCUCUUCUCCCAAUCCCCCUCAAAUCCCACUCGGAUCACAGCGAAAAAUUCUAGGGCUUCUCUCGUUAUUAGCCUUGCGGCUCGCCGGCGACAUGACCCAUCUAUUCAGCAUCCUCGUCAUCUUGCUCAACUUCUAGGGUUUCCCUCGCGGACUCGAAUUCUGUCGAUUUUCCUGGUUUUUCUCCGAUUUUUUGGGAUUUUUUUUUGAUCUGGAGGCAGGCAUAUCGACUGGGCUUUCUUUGAUGGGUGGCCUAAGACGAAAGAUUCUUAGUCAGCUCUGGAAGAGGAGAGGUCCAACCGGACCUCAUUCUCCACAACCCAGCUCUCGAUUUCCAUCCCAAUGGCCGCCUCCGACUUCUCCACAACCUCUUCGAGGUCUCUCCUGAUGAUGACUGAGAGAAGUCUUCAGGCCUUUUGGGUCUAGCUCUGGAGUCAGGAAGUGGCUGGGGUAGCAGGACUGCCUGUAUGGUUUUCUUUAAUCUUUAAGAAAUUGCCCUGAGUUUUGUUAUCAAUUACUCCAGCAGGUAGAAACUGCCUGUGAGCACUUUGUGGAAGUAACUUUAUUAGUUUAGUGCCUGGACUGAAGUCAUCUAACAUCCAUAGGCCCAGUAAUUUCAAUUCAUGUUCAGCAUUGUGGGAUUAAAGGAUUCCUAGGUCCCAGCCAACACUGGUGUACAAUGAUAUCUAUGCCAAAUUAUUCCUGUUACAACAUGCCAAAUAGGGCUGUCCUAGUUCUGGCCCAAACGGGCUAAUUUGGGUCGCCCCCAGCCUUGAUUUUCCAAAAUUUUUUUGGUCUAAGCUUGGCCUGAAGCCCGAGAUUGCAUGACCCGGCUCAUUUUCAACCCUAUGUGUAGGUGACCCAACGUGAAAACACUACCACCAUAUAUACCAUGCCUACCAUGGAAACUAAUAUACCAUGCAUCUAGCCUGGACGUGGACACCAUAAUUAUCUUAUUAGCCUAUAGAUUAACAUCCACACUUACUUUAUUUGCUCACAUACUGCUAGCUAAUCUUUUAUGAUAACUUAAUGAAAACUACCAUGUAUUAUAUAGUUGGCAUCAACUUGUAUACAAAAGGUUGAUUACCCAAGUGAAUAAUACACAAAAUACAACUAUUCCUCACAUUUUACUAUAUUCUAUAAUAUGGUGUUAGAGCCCUGGUUCUUGAUCCCUUCUUGUCUCUAGUCUGGCUUGGGCAUCUAACUCAGGAUCUUUUCCAAAUUCUUCCUCAAAGUUCCUUUGACUCCACAAUCAUCGAAGAACCAUCUCUAAUCCAAUAUUGCUUCAACACAUCUCCUUAACCUGCACCUGCAUUUGCUUAGUGCUAAUUUUGUUCAAUGCUCAAAGAUCCAUCUUGGAUGGUGCUUCAUGCACCCAAGUAUUUGUUUUCUCCCUUCCUUGCUUCACUUUUUAAUAUUUUUACAUCCAAGAUUUAAAUACCACCUGCUUGGUGUCGUACCACCAAUACCAUAUUGUUCUGGUGGCAUCCUAGAUGGAAACAAGAUGUGGGACAUCGAAACUAGCCCUAGUCAGUGUAUGACAUUAAUGAUAUAAAUGGACUGGUUUGGGCUUGUGGUUUUAAAUUAAAAUUUUGAUACUAAAUUAACUAAAAUUUAAAAAUAUAUUAAAUAUAAAACAAUUUGAAACAUAGGUAUUAAUAUAAGCCCAAUACAUGACACUACCCAUAAGGGGUACUGAAAUCCCAAUUCCUGAUGUUGAACUCUAUUAUCACUACCGGGAGGAAACUAGAUUUGUUCAAUUCUUGAUGGCUCUUCAAGAUGAUUUUGAGUAUAAUCAAGCCUCAAUACUCUACUAGUCCGCACCCUGUUGAUGCUGCCCUUUCAGAGUCAAUAGCAGAAGAAACAUGUAAAAGCACAACCAACUUCUCCACAACAAAUAGUGCCUCAAUUAUUUUAGCUGCUUCUUAUCUUGUCCUCUCCAACACCCUAAACUUUCUGCACUUCCACUUAGAGACAUGUCGCAAGUAUAGUGCAAAUACUACAAAUAGUUUGGAAAUGUGGUUAAGAAUUGCACCUCUUCUAUCUCUAGAAACAUGUAGGUCAACAAAAAGACUUUUUAUAAACAAAAGUUUGCAGCACCCCUCACUCAGUCGGAGCCUUCUCCUGGAUUAGUUGCUAGUCCAUCUGAAUCAUUUAGUCCUACUGUGGAAGACAUCUAGGAUAUGAUCAAGAAAGCUUUCUCUAGUAUUGGUAAUACAACUUUUGCUUUUGUCCUCUCCACUUUCUCAAGCACUUCAUCUGCUUGGUGGUUCUUUGAUUCUAGUGCCUCAAAUCACAUGAACUAUAAGCCUAUUCCUAUUUCUUCCUCACCUUUCAUUCAUACUGUUGACGGGUCUGCAAUUGUUGUGAGUCAUGUUAGAAAUGUUCAAACCGUAUCUAAUGAUCUCUCUUUACCUAAUGUUUUUCCUGUGCCCAAACUCUCAAUCAAUUUAAUGUCAAUUGGACAAUUAUAUGAGGCUUUUCCAUCACAUUCUCUUUGUCUAACUAUGUUUGUAGGAAUGUUUGACAGGGGAAGUAGGUAUAGGGUAUAAUCUUGGUUGUUUCUAAGUUUUUGAUAACUUGCAUGUUCUACCUCCUUUCAAUACCUAUCCUAUUGAUGCUUCUACUCCUGUCAUGCGUUUUCUUAUAUAUUAGCAUAGCCUCUUAGGUCAUGUUUCCUUUCUACAACUUCUUUAUAUGAUUAAUAGAAGUUUUUAGGAUCAGUUAAGUUUGAUAAAGAACAAUGUUAUGUCAAGUUUUUAGGAUCAGUUAAGUUCUAGGGUUAAGUUUUUAGGAUCAGUUAAAUUUUUAGGAUUUGCGCUACAUUUUAUGCUUAGUAAUUCUAUUUUAACUGCUCCUUUUGAUCUUAUUCAUUUGAUGUGUGGGAGCCUGCUCCUCUUGCCUCUAUAGAAGAGCUCAAUUUAUGUCAUUGCUACAUAUUGAUAUUUCUACUUCAUUCUCAACUUGAUUUUCUUAAAGUUUACAUAGAAUCUUUAAACAUAAUAAAAACACAAUUUUUGAAACCAUAAAAGUUUUCUGCUUAGAUUCUUGUGGUGAAUAUCUUUCUAAGGCUUUCGUUGAAGAUCUUAAGUCACAGGUGACAACUGCUUAAUUGUCUUGUGCUGAAACACCUCGAUAAAAUAGGUUUUCUGAACUCAAAGACCAUCAUAUUAUGGAAACUAUUUGUACAUUACUUUUGUCUUCUUCUGUGCCAGUAGAAUUUUGGGGAGAAGCUGUGAACAUAACUGUUUAUCCCAUUAAUCAUAUGCCUUCCACUGUAAUUGCAGAAGUAACCUUAUUAAAGCAUCCAUCUCAUAUUACUCCUAGCCAUUUCCCUCUUCACGUUUUUUGUUCAACUUGUUUUGUUCUUCAAAAAGAGAAAAGACAAUCGUAGCACCAAAUCUGUUUUUUAUAUGUUUUUGGGCCAUGGGAUUCAACAAAAAGAUUUCACUGUUAUGACCUUAGAAAGUAUAUAUGCCUCAUCAUGUUACCUUCUGGGAAAGGACUCCAUUUUUCACACUCCUAAAUGCACAAAAUUCCUUCCAUUAACUUCAUUUUGUUGAUCCUUUUCUUGAUUUGAAUCCCAUUACUUCUUAAAACAACCAUUCAACCACAAAUGCUAUUCCUUCUUUUGAAUCUGACCAAAAGCACCUUAUCUAGACUUUAUUGACCCAAUGUGUGAUCCACCACCAGCUACUCUUGAGCACCACUAUCCAUUUCGCAAACAACAUCCUCCACCAUAUCUCAGGGACUAUUGCUGUUAUCCAUCCACCGUUCUUUCUCUAUAUGAGCCUCAGUCCUACCAAGAAGCUUCAUUUAAUUCAUGCUGAUAGGAAGCUAUGAAUGAAGAACUUAUUGCACUUCAAAAGUCCAAUACUUAGGAAGUUGUCAGUUUACCUCCUGGAAGGUCUAUAGAAGGAAGUUAAGGGUUCUCCAAGAUCAAAAACAAAUUUGAUGGAUCUAUUGUAUGGUAUAAGGCUUGAUUAGUUACAAAGGGAUUCAAUUAAGAAUAUGGGGUUGAUUACAAAGAGACUUCUGCUCUUGUUGCUGGUAUGAUUAUAAUUCGCACUCUUCUUGCUGUUGUUGUAACUCAAGAUGGCAACUAUAUUAGAUAGAUGUUAAGGAUGCUUUCCUCAUUGGGUAUGUCCAUAAAGAGAUCCAUAUGACACCACCUCUCGGCAUGUCAUGUAAGCUAAAUCAAGUAUGUUGACUUCGUUAUCUUUCUAUGGUCUUAACCAAGCACUGCAUGCUUGGUAAAUUCCAGUCCACCAUUUAACAAAUGGCUUUUCUGAAAGUUGUCAUGAUAUUGCUGUGUUUACUCUCUUUACAGCUAAGGGGUGAUUGUUCACCUAUAUGUUGAUGACAUGGUCAUCACACAUGGUGAUUUAGAUGGCAUUAUGACACUACAUGCUGGUGAGUGAAUCCUUUGAAUGAAGGAUCUUGGCAUUCUUCGCAAUUUCAUUGGUAUUGAGGUUGAUAAUCAAUCUAAUGGAUAUUUCUUGUCUUAAGUGAAGUAUGCUUAUGAUCUAGUUGCCUGAGCAAGCUUGACGGAUAGCAAAUUAUGGAUACUCUAAGUGAACCGAAUGUCAAACUUUGACCAAUUUAUAGAAAACCACUUCCUGAUCCAACUCUUUGGGGUCGAUUGGGAGUCUCCCAAGGCUUGAUAUUAGCUAGACGGUUCAUCUUGUCAGCCAGUUCAUGAUCUCUCCUCAAUCAGUUCAUUUUGCUGUCAUAUUUCAUAUCUUGUACCAUAUCGAAGGCACGAUUUAUCGAGGAUUGUAUCUAUCAGUUCAUGACUUUUGCAGCUCAUAUUUACUUUGUGAUCAUAUUGGCAGGUAAAACAACUCUUCAGUGAUCAUGAAAAAGCUGAAAUUUCUGAACAAAUAUAAACUGUUACAUAGGCUUUCGUGAUAAUGUUCUUUCUCUUUGUUCUACUUUUGAGAUCAUCAGACUUUCUGAAUCUAUGAAUCUAUUAUAGAUAAAGCAAAUAUUAUCUUUCGUCUCUUCUUAUAUCAAGAUGUUAUGCAGCCUUUUUGAGAGCUUGUUAUCUAUCUAUUUUCUACUGGUUCCUUCCACUUAAAAUAUUUCAGAAACAUGAUUCCACUCUGCAGAGACAAAGCUAUUCAUAACUGGACUGUCUUUAGGCUUAUUAAGUAGCAAUUUUGUUUUUUUGAACUUUUUUUAGUGUUUUCAGCAUGUAAUCUGGGAGAGAGCUACAAGAACUUGUGAAACAUUCCUUAUGGAAUAAACAUGCAUCGUUAUUUGCAUAUCAUUUAUAGUUUAUGCAACUACUGCACACAUUUUGAUGCUAACUGAGCUGUUGGAGUCUGCUCAGCCACAACAUAACUUGUAGAAGAACACAAGCUACAGAAGAGGACUGUGCAUGCAUACGAGAACGCUUGUGGUGGGGACAUAGACCAUCGUUUCCAGCAUGUAUAUAGGCGUCGCCGGCGUGCAUAGCACUUUGGCCACCCUAGUUUUAUUUUUUUGUGUAUUUUUAUUUAUUUAUUAUGUAUUUUCGUCUUUUAUUAGUUGCUGACUUGUAUGGUUGUAUUUAGCUAGUGUAGUGAUCCAUGAUGUUGUUGGAUCAUGGGUAGUUACAUGAUCAUUUAUGAGGAUCAUGGGUAGUUGUAUAGGAGGUUAUAUAUGGCACCCUAUAUCUACUGUUGGAGGUAGAGUAAUUUGGAAUGAAAAAUUUGUCUUGACAUCUGGUGGACUCCAGAACUUCCCUCCUCUCUCCUUUCUAUUUAUAUUUUCUACCCUAAAUCAUCUGUCCCGCAUCAGUUUGGUAUUAGAGCUUAGACAGGCUUGCCACUGUUGCUAAAGCCUCGAUCCCUCUUCUGUCUCUUCCACUGUUCCUACUGUUCUCUUCUCCUUUCGGUUUCAGAUAAAAUAAACACCUUCUGCUGCCUCCUCCCUCUAUCUCGGAUCUCACACUAGACAAAAAAAAAAAAA